UGGGGAAUUGUUCGCAAUGGGCGCAAGCCUGACGACGCAACGCCGCGUGGAGGAUGAAGGUCUUCGGAUUGUAAACUCCUGUUGACCGGGAAGAAUGGAUCUCGCAUGAAUACUGCGAGGUAAUGACGGUACCGGUUGAGGAAGCCACGGCUAACUCUGUGCCAGCAGCCGCGGUAAUACAGAGGUGACAAGCGUUGUUCGGAAUUACUGGGCGUAAAGGGCGCGUAGGCGGCCGCCUAAGUCAGACGUGAAAUCCCCAAGCUUAACUUGGGAACUGCGUCUGAUACUGGGUGGCUUGAGUUCGGGAGAGGAAUGUGGAAUUCCAGGUGUAGCGGUGAAAUGCGUAGAUAUCUGGAGGAACACCGGUGGCGAAGGCGGCAUCCUGGACCGACAUUGACGCUGAGGCGCGAAAGCCAGGGGAGCAAA
rnacentral:rRNA from 1 species